UACGGAGGGGGCAAGCGUUAUUCGGAAUUAUUGGGCGUAAAGGGCGCGUAGGCGGCUAGAUGUGUCAAAGGUGAAAUCCCUCGGCUCAACUGAGGAACUGCCUUUGAAACUGUCUGGCUUGAGGCCGGGAGAGGGUAGCGGAAUUCCCAGUGUAGCGGUGAAAUGCGUAGAUAUUGGGAGGAACACCAGUGGCGAAGGCGGCUACCUGGACCGGCAUUGACGCUGAGGAGCGAAAGCCAGGGGAGCAAACGGG
rnacentral:rRNA from 1 species